UUAUUAGUUAUGUUCUUUAAACCUAAAGAAUUUGGCGGUGUUUUAGUCUAUUUAGAGGAAUUUGUCCCUUAAUCGAUAAUCCUCGUUUUAUCUUACUUAUAUUUUGUUAUCAGUAUGUAUACCGCCGUUAUGAGUUUAUUUUUAUAGAAUUUUAAUUCACUAAAAAUUUUAUUAAUUUUUAUUUCAGGUCAAGGUGCAGCUUAUAUUUAAGUGGUGAUGAAUUACAAUAUUAUUUAAGUGAAUGGAUUUUAUUUUGAAAAGUUGGAUGAAAUUGGAUUUAAUUGUAAUUUUAAUGAUAGAAUUAAUUUGAUUAUAGCUCUAUAACGAGUACACAUCGCCCGUCGCUCUA
rnacentral:rRNA from 1 species